ACAUUGUAUCAAACAUCACAACAAACCAACUGACAACCUAAAUUGGUUUGUUGCCGCCAUGCUCGGAUUCAGCCUUUGGACCCACAAGUAGAACCAACAAGUCCAAUCGUAGAUUCAUCCUCUGUGGUUCAGGACUCAUCACGAUGGACGAUAACACAAAGCGUUCUUCAUUUAGCAUGGAAAAUGCAUGAGCACUGUAAUAGUUUCCUUUGGUAUCGUUGUGCUCUACGAUCAACACACAUCCAGAAACACACACACAUACAAUUAAAUCACAGCAUUUGUGAUGCUGUGACAUCACAUUCUCUUGCUGUUGAGGU